rnacentral:rRNA from 1 species
GGGCCCGCACAAGCGGUGGAGUAUGUGGUUUAAUUCGAUGCAACGCGAAGAACCUUACCAGGGUUUGACAUCCUGCGAAUCUCUUGGAAACGAGAGAGUGCCUUCGGGAACGCAGUGACAGGUGGUGCAUGGCUGUCGUCAGCUCGUGUCGUGAGAUGUUGGGUUAAGUCCCGCAACGAGCGCAACCCACGUCUUUAGUUGCCAGCACGUAAAGGUGGGGACUCUAGCCAGACUGCCUACGCAAGUAGUGAGGAAGGUGGGGACGACGUCAAGUCAUCAUGGCCCUUAUGUCCAGGGCUGCACACGUGCUACAAUGGUCGGUACAAUGGGUCGCCACCCAGCGAUGGGGCGCAAAUCCUUAAAACCGGUCUCAGUUCGGAUCGGGGUCUGCAACUCGGCCCCGUGAAGCUGGAAUCGCUAGUAAUCG